CUUUUGUUCCAAAACUCCGGUUGGGGAGAACACACAUCGUCCGCAAUCGGUAGAGAGGAGCGAUGAGGUUCUGUACAGGUCCUCACCUCCCACCACUGGCAUUGCAACGCCUAGCUUCGCAGGGUUCUGGUAAUCAGGCUGGCACAACAUUGACUGAAAUCUCUGCAAACUCCGGGAGAGUGACUAGGACACUGUUCUUGUUUGAUGUUCUCUCUACCCUAAUGUCAUUAUCAGAGGACUGCCAUACAGAUAGAUUGCCUUCAGGUCUUGGUUAAUGCAUGGAUUUGUGCGCUGGAUACAAGGAGUAUCAGAAGAAUCAAUAUGCCAUUGCUGUUGGAGACUUCCAUGCUUGCUCUUCUCAGUUUCAACUGCCUAAACUCAACUGCACAAGUAUUAUGCCUCUCUUGUUAGCUGUUAUCUCCUUAUAUAGUCUCACUUGGGUGUCUUAAUACUUCUCAAGGAAUCUAAGCUACUGACUUUGUGCAUUCUUGUUGUUCAUCUCAAGUAGAAGAACAUGGCUUUGUUGGCUAAAGCUUGAACGCUAAUCUUGGUCAAA